CCUGGUGCUUCCCCUCUCUGGGCAGCAGCUGCUCUACCAUGUGCUCAGCACAACUCCAGGCAGCAGCACAGACCGGCACUUGUGCGGCUGCAAGGACAGGGACGAGCUGCUCGCCCCACCGAGGGAUGUGCCCAGGGAAGUCCGGAGGAGCGGGUUUCCAUUUCUUUCAUAUGUAUUCCAAAUUCUUGAAAUUCCCAUCCUGUCAAGUUCGAUUAAAAUAGACCAGGUGAAGAAUUUUUAAUGACUGUCUCUGCCUAACGAAGAAACCAAUAGACUGGUACAAUACAAUCUGUUUUGUGAAAACAACAUUGUAUUUUAUUUCACCAACUUCUUUAUUAUUGCCCGAAAGUUUCAAGGUUUCUUGGAAGCCUCAAUGUUUUUAUAGACAGACAAGGUAUAGAGGCAAGAGGCACUCAUUAGCUUCUAGAGCUUAUUCACCAGGCUCUCAUCACGAGCUAACACUGAAACCGGACAGAUGUCUUCACUUUCGCUUUCCUUGCUUUCUCAGGAUUUCAUUUAUGUCAGUGCAGGCCAGGACCGCUUCAAAGUUACAGUGGAAAGCUACUCUAGUAAACUUUUUUGUCAAUUUGUUAGCUUCAGUGCCAAAGAGGUUUGCUUUUUUAUGGGUGCCAUUGCUCUUUGGAAUCUACUUUCUCAUAUUCUGUAUUUUUACUGUAACCUUUAAUAAAGUUAUUUGAAAGAAA